rnacentral:rRNA from 1 species
GGAGAAAGCUUUAUGCACCAUUGGAUGAGCCUGCACUUGAUUAGUUUGUUGGUGGGGUAAUGGCCUACCAAGACUGUGAUCAAUAGCUGAUUUGAGAGGAUGAUCAGCCACAUUGGGACUGAGACACGGCCCAAACUCCUACGGGAGGCAGCAGUGGGGAAUCUUGCACAAUGGAGGAAACUCUGAUGCAGCGAUGCCGCGUGAGUGAAGAAGGCCCUUGGGUUGUAAAGCUCUUUCGUCGGGGAAG